rnacentral:rRNA from 1 species
CUACGUGCCAGCAGCCGCGGUAAUACGUAGGGUGCGAGCGUUAAUCGGAAUUACUGGGCGUAAAGCGAGCGCAGACGGUUACUUAAGCAGGAUGUGAAAUCCCCGGGCUCAACCUGGGAACUGCGUUCUGAACUGGGUGACUAGAGUGUGUCAGAGGGAGGUAGAAUUCCACGUGUAGCAGUGAAAUGCGUAGAGAUGUGGAGGAAUACCGAUGGCGAAGGCAGCCUCCUGGGAUAACACUGACGUUCAUGCUCGAAAGCGUGGGUAGCAAACAGGAUUAGAUACCCUGGUAGUCCACGCCCUAAACGAUGUCAAUUAGCUGUUGGGCAACUUGAUUGCUUAGUAGCGUAGCUAACGCGUGAAAUUGACCGCCUGGGGAGUACGGUCGCAAGAUUAAAACUCAAAGGAAUUGACGGGGACCCGCACAAGCGGUGGAUGAUGUGGAUUAAUUCGAUGCAACGCGAAGAACCUUACCUGAUCUUGACAU